rnacentral:rRNA from 1 species
GGGCUUUACAUCCCACGAACCUGCCUGAAAGGGUAGGGUGCCCGCAAGGGAACGUGGAGACAGGUGGUGCAUGGCUGUCGUCAGCUCGUGUCGUGAGAUGUUGGGUUAAGUCCCGCAACGAGCGCAACCCUCACCCCUAGUUGCCACCGGGUAAAGCCGAGCACUCGAGGGGAACUGCCAGCGUCAAGCUGGAGGAAGGCGGGGAUGACGUCAAGUCAUCAUGCCCCUUUCGUCCUGGGCUACACACGUGCUACAAUGGCCAAUACAAGGGGAUGCGAGACCGCGAGGUGGAGCUAAUCCCAAAAAGUUGGUCUAAGUUCAGAUUGCAGUCUGCAAUUCGACUGCAUGAAGGAGGAAUCGCUAGUAAUCGCGCAUCAGCCCGGCGCGGUGAAUACGUUCCCGGGCCUUGUACACACGGCCCGUCACACCACGAAAGCUAACUGUACUCGGAGUCGCUGAG